GGAAGGGUAGCGAAGAGGCUAAACGCGGCGGACUGUAAAUCCGCUCCUUCGGGUUCGGGGGUUCGAAUCCCUCCUCUUCCA
rnacentral:tRNA from 1 species